rnacentral:tRNA from 1 species
GGCCAAUUAGCUCAGUCGGCAGAGCGUGGUGCUAAUACCGGUAAGGUCGUGAGUUCGAUCCUCACACAGGCCA